CUCUGUUCUUAAGAAGUGAGUUAUUUUCGUGUGAGUUAUUUAUAGAAACUUGUUAGUAAGUUGUUAUGAAAGGGGAGAUGUUUAUUCUGUCGUUGAAUUAGAUCGGGAAGAAAAGAAAAAGAUGAUUUAGAUAUUGAAUUGAGGUUAGGGUUUCUGGAAUUAGGGUUCUUGUAGAACUGAUGAUGAUAAAGUGACAUUCUUGGAUGAAGAGAAGAGGGGUUGUUGUUGAUUUGAUGAAAUGAAGCUAUUCUGAUGCUGAAUCGAAAUCAGGUGAUUUCGGAAGUAGCAGAAGCGUCGAUUGAAGAUUAUGAGACUGGCAUGCAAGGUUGCAAUGAAGCUGCAAAGAUAUGGAUGCAGGUUGAUUGCUUCAAUGUGCUGCGAAGAAGCGAGCCCCCUCAUUCAUACCUCUGCAGUUUUCGUCGAGCAAGAUUUGAAACGUUCUUUCUUCGCAUGUCUUGGUCUCUCUUGUCUUAACAUUUUAAUGACAUAAUUACCAUAUUAUUUUUCCUUCUUCUUUCUUGACAAUCAAAUAGUUUUUCUGUGCUUUUGCUGGUUCACACGAUUGGCUAUUUAGUGUCUCUUGAAUGCAAUAAAUCAGCCAUAUACAGAUUGCCAAAAGCAUUGCUUUCUGCAUUCGAUAAUAAAUCAUGGAUUCCAGUUACCAACAUACUUCUGCAAUUAUAAAAAAGUUCAGGAUUUGUGUUGUCAAUGUGCAGGUCACAUAUCGAAGUUACAUUGAUCUGUAGAUUUUGUUGCUGGUGCAAGUUCUUUUGAUCAAUGUAAAUGAUUGAAAAUUGGUGGUGAUUACACAAGUUGUGCAAGCUCAUCUCCUUAUCACCCUCCUCCUGCUCCACCUGUUUGGGGAACCAAGGGUAUCUUUCAAUUUUUGUUAUUCUAAAGGUACAUGGCUCUACCUCUUCCAUAUAUGGAGGACCGUCCGCGCCUCCACUAGCGACAAUUGCACCCAUCCCUCUACCACCAACUGGUGGUUAUGCACCUGUCCAGGUGAUGCUAUAAUUUAAUUAAACUCACCUCCAUCGAUCAAGGGGCGUUGGUUGUUUUGUUUUAUCUAUAUUACUGGUAUGUUUUCAAACCACAUAUCAAUUAGAUUUUCAAAAGCUAUUGUUUCUCUUUCGCUGAACUAUAAUUUCCAGUAGCAUUAAAACUCCAUUAGGAAGUGGUAGUAUCAAUUUUUGGCCUCUCACUUGCUACGAAAAGUUUCUGUUUUCUUACCUCAAAGUAGAAUCUCGAACUUGUCAUUUACUUUUGAUGCCUGAAUUUCGCCAGUUUCUUUGUUCAAAACUUCAAAUUGAUUGCAUAUUUAGGUAAAGUGCAUGGUGCAGUUCAUAAUCUCAGUAGCAUGGCAGCUUAAGUAGUAAAUGAAUGGCCAAUCAUCUAAUGAUCUCAAAGUUACAUGGUUAAUAGAAAAUUUUAAUGGCUCAUUAAAAAUUAUCACCAAUGAAACCACAUGUAUGAAUAAUUUAGUCAGUUAGACAAAUGAAAUUGAAAAAUUUGAAAUCCCAUGUGUUCUUUACCCUAUUUUCCCCUGUUUCUAUGAGUUGAACAUUGAGGUAUAUUAUUAGGCUUGACCAUUUGCUCCACUAGCUAUAGGCGUACGUCUUAUGCAUAUCUUUGAUUCUGGCUUUUGGGUAUGUCUUCAAGCAAGGGUUUAUACUGCCAAGAUAGUUUCUGUUGUUUGACAUCUUCAUGAGAGGGGAACCAUGCACCGACAUCUCAAACCUGAAAAUAUCCUUACGGACAGUGAAGGGCAUGUAAGCUCAUGCUCAGAUACAUUAUACCAUGUUUUUGGUGCGUACAAAAUAUCAUGUUCUUACAUUUUAGAAUAUCUGCAGACACAUCUACCAAGGAAGAAAUCAUUGUUGUUGGAGGUAAAAUGUAUGCAUCCAUGUAAAUUCGUUGAUUGGAAGAUGUAAUUAGUCAUACAAAAGGUGCUUGGUCCAUUCAUAGAUUUUUACAGUGACUUCUAUGUUUUUUUGUCUUCAGUUAGGAGGUAUAUAACCCUGCAGUUUGGAUAUGAAAACGCCAAUGGCUUCUCCAACUGGUGACUAAAAGUUGCACGCAGGGGGAUUAGUUAGAUCCUAGUAAUGAAGUUCCUGUAGAUGGAAAGUUAUUAGUGAAAUUACAAGAGCAAGAUAUCAAGGAGCCCAUAAAGACACCAAAGAUUCAUGGCUUCUGCUUUAGAAUUCCUUUUGUUGCAGGUGACUAAUAAUGAAGAGCUUGAAUGUGGAAAGUUAUGAAUUGAUGUGGAGUUACAAGGUAUGAAAGCUCGUUGCUUGUACUAUUUGUGAGAUAACUAGGAACUCAAAUGUAUCAUUCUGGAUUUCCCAUUCUGCCAAGGUUCCAAACUAGACGAUAACCAAGUCUUUGGCUUUUAAGUUUUUCGUUACUGAUUAUGUUCAAAUAUUCUAUACCUGAUAAGUCACUUGAGUCGUUUUCAACAUCUUAUCUUGUAUUUCAGCUUUAGUUUUUAUUUUUUUCCUUGGAUACUAAAUGUUGUUAGUGUUAAUAUUAAAAUUACGAUUUGUAUUGGGGUGCAAAAAAUAAUAAUAUGAAAUAAUUUUGA